rnacentral:rRNA from 1 species
GGAGGUGGCUAGCGUUACUCGGAUUUACUGGGUGUAAAGGGUAUGUAGGCGGGCUUGUAAGUCAGGCGUGAAAUCCCUUGGCUCAACCAAGGAAUUGCGUUUGAAACUGCUUGUCUUGAGUGCGGGAGAGGAGAACGGAAUUCCCGGUGUAAGGGUGAAAUCUGUAGAGAUCGGGAGGAACACCAGUGGCGAAGGCGGUUCUCUGGUCCGUAACUGACGCUGAAAUACGAAAGCUAGGGGAGCAAACAGAAUUAGAUACUCUGGUAGUCCUAGCCGUAAACGAUGGGUACUAGGUGUAGUCCCGCAAGGGGCUGUGCCGCAGUUAACACAUUAAGUACCCCACCUGGGGAGUACGCCCGCAAGGGUG